UUUAUUCCUGGGGCUCUGCUUUAUGUUUCUUCGGGCUGGUUCACGUCUGCCAUCUCAUAGGAUUAUGGAACUAUCCAUGGAUACCACAGAGAAGAGAGGUGAAGUUGCAAGACCCAUCUACCCCUCACCAGAUUGUACCGUCACCCGUAUCUGACCUUAUUGCUACUCACACUCUAUGUCCCAGGAUGAAAUACCAAGAUGAUGUAGGGGUGUCCCCUCAAGAUGUGAAGCACUUGCUUAUCUGGAAAAUGCAAUCGAG
rnacentral:lncRNA from 1 species